CCUACGGGAGGCUGCAGUGGGGAAUAUUGCACAAUGGGGGGAACCCUGAUGCAGCGACGCCGCGUGAGUGAAGAAGGAUUUCGGUACGUAAAGCUCUAUCAGCAGGGAAGAAAAAAGGACGGUACCUGAGAAAGAAGCCACGGCUAACUACGUGCCAGCAGCCGCGGUAAUACGUAGGGGGCAAGGGGUAUCCGGAAUUACUGGGUGGAAAGGGAGCGUAGACGGCAAUGCAAGUCCGGAGUGGAAUGCGGCCGCUCAACUGCCGAACUGCUCUGGAAACUGUAUGGCUGGAGUGCAGGAGCGGUAAGCGGAAUUCCUGGUGUAGCGGUGAACUGCGUAGAUAUCAGGAGGAACACCGGUGGCGACGGCGGCUUACUGGACUGUAACUGACGUUGAGGCUCGAAAGCGUGGGGAGCAAACAGGAUUAGAUACCCCUGUAGUC
rnacentral:rRNA from 1 species